rnacentral:tRNA from 1 species
ACCUUUGUGGUGUAGUGGUCAGCACACUCGGCUCGUAUUCGAGAGGUCCGUGGUUCGAGUCCCGGCGACGUCA